UACAGAGGUCUCAAGCGUUGUUCGGAUUCAUUGGGCGUAAAGGGUGCGUAGGCGGCGCGGUAAGUCGGGUGUGAAAUCUCGGAGCUUAACUCCGAAACUGCAUUCGAUACUGCCGUGCUUGAGGACUGGAGAGGAGACUGGAAUUUACGGUGUAGCGGUGAAAUGCGUAGAUAUCUGGAGGAACACCGGUGGCGAAGGCGGCAUCCUGGACCGACAUUGACGCUGAGGAGCGAAAGCCAGGGGAGCAAACGGG
rnacentral:rRNA from 1 species